rnacentral:rRNA from 1 species
CAAUCACUUGUCCUUUAAAUGAGGACCUGUAUGAAUGGCAUAACGAGGGCUCAACUGUCUCCCCCCCCCAGUCAGUGAAAUUGAUCUCCCCGUGCAGAAGCGGGGAUACGCCCAUAAGACGAGAAGACCCUAUGGAGCUUUAGUCAUUAAGCAGCCUGCAACCAAACAAACCCCCCCAAGGGCUACGAACAACGCAUUACUUCCUGCUGAAAUGUCUUCGGUUGGGGCGACCGUGGGAUAAAAAAAACCUCCCAUGAGGACCGGGAAAACCUUCCCAGAACCAAGGGCUACCGCCCUAAGCAACAGAAACUCUGACCUAAAUGAUCCAGCCUGACAGCUGAUCAACGGACCGAGUUACCCUAGGGAUAACAGCGCAAUCCCCUCCUAGAGCCCC